UACAGAGGAUGCAAGCGUUAUCCGGAAUGAUUGGGCGUAAAGCGUCUGUAGGCGGCUUUUUAAGUCCGCCGUCAAAUCCCAGGGCUCAACUCUGGACAGGCGGUGGAAACUACCAAGCUGGAGUACGGUAGGGGCAGAGGGAAUUUCCGGUGGAGCGGUGAAAUGCGUAGAGAUCGGGAAGAACACCAACGGCGAAAGCGAGCUGCUGGGCCGACACUGACACUGAGAGACGAAAGCUAGGGGAGCGAACAGG
rnacentral:rRNA from 1 species